GUGGGGAAUUUUGGACAAUGGGCGCAAGCCUGAUCCAGCCAUGCCGCGUGCAGGAUGAAGGCCUUCGGGUUGUAAACUGCUUUUGUACGGAACGAAAAGGUUUCUUUUAAUACAGGGAACUGAUGACGGUACCGUAAGAAUAAGCACCGGCUAACUACGUGCCAGCAGCCGCGGUAAUACGUAGGGUGCGAGCGUUAAUCGGAAUUACUGGGCGUAAAGCGUGCGCAGGCGGUGAUGUAAGACAGAGGUGAAAUCCCCGGGCUCAACCUGGGAACUGCCUUUGUGACUGCAUCGCUGGAGUGCGGCAGAGGGGGAUGGAAUUCCGCGUGUAGCAGUGAAAUGCGUAGAUAUGCGGAGGAACACCGAUGGCGAAGGCAAUCCCCUGGGCCUGCACUGACGCUCAUGCACGAAAGCGUGGGGAGCAAACAGGAUUAGAAACCCUAGUAGUCC
rnacentral:rRNA from 1 species